GAGGGCGGUGCUAUACAUGCAGUCGAGCGGACAGAUGGGAGCUUGCUCCCUGAUGUUAGCGGCGGACGGGUGAGUAACACGUGGGUAACCUGCCUGUAAGACUGGGAUAACUCCGGGAAACCGGGGCUAAUACCGGAUGCUUGUUUGAACCGCAUGGUUCAAACAUAAAAGGUGGCUUCGGCUACCACUUACAGAUGGACCCGCGGCGCAUUAGCUAGUUGGUGAGGUAAUGGCUCACCAAGGCAACGAUGCGUAGCCGACCUGAGAGGGUGAUCGGCCACACUGGGACUGAGACACGGCCCAGACUCCUACGGGAGGCAGCAGUAGGGAAUCUUCCGCAAUGGACGAAAGUCUGACGGAGCAACGCCGCGUGAGUGAUGAAGGUUUUCGGAUCGUAAAGCUCUGUUGUUAGGGAAGAACAAGUACCGUUCGAAUAGGGCGGUACCUUGACGGUACCUAACCAGAAAGCCACGGCUAACUACGUGCCAGCAGCCGCGGUAAUACGUAGGUGGCAAGCGUUGUCCGGAAUUAUUGGGCGUAAAGGGCUCGCAGGCGGUUCCUUAAGUCUGAUGUGAAAGCCCCCGGCUCAACCGGGGAGGGUCAUUGGAAACUGGGGAACUUGAGUGCAGAAGAGGAGAGUGGAAUUCCACGUGUAGCGGUGAAAUGCGUAGAGAUGUGGAGGAACACCAGUGGCGAAGGCGACUCUCUGGUCUGUAACUGACGCUGAGGAGCGAAAGCGUGGGGAGCGAACAGGAUUAGAUACCCUGGUAGUCCACGCCGUAAACGAUGAGUGCUAAGUGUUAGGGGUUUCCGCCCCUUAGUGCUGCAGCUAACGCAUUAAGCACUCCGCCUGGGGAGUACGGUCGCAAGACUGAAACUCAAAGGAAUUGACGGGGGCCCGCACAAGCGGUGAGCAUGUGGUUUAAUUCGAAGCAACGCGAAGAACUUACCAGGUCUUGACAUCCUCUGACAUCCUAGAGAUAGGACGUCCCCUUCGGGGGCAGAGUGACAGUGUGCAUGAUGUCGUCAGCUCGUGUCGUGAAAUGUAGGUAAGUCCGCAACAGCGCAACCCUUGAUCUUAGU
rnacentral:rRNA from 1 species